rnacentral:rRNA from 1 species
CAGAUUUACUUCGGUAAUGACGUUAGGAAAGCGAGCGGCGGAUGGGUGAGUAACACGUGGGGAACCUGCCCCAUAGUCUGGGAUACCACUUGGAAACAGGUGCUAAUACCGGAUAAGAAAGCAGAUCGCAUGAUCAGCUUUUAAAAGGCGGCGUAAGCUGUCGCUAUGGGAUGGCCCCGCGGUGCAUUAGCUAGUUGGCAAGGUAAAGGCUUACCAAGGCGAUGAUGCAUAGCCGAGUUGAGAGACUGAUCGGCCACAUUGGGACUGAGACACGGCCCAAACUCCUACGGGAGGCAGCAGUAGGGAAUCUUCCACAAUGGACGCAAGUCUGAUGGAGCAACGCCGCGUGAGUGAAGAAGGUUUUCGGAUCGUAAAGCUCUGUUGUUGGUGAAGAAGGAUAGAGGUAGUAACUGGCCUUUAUUUGACGGUAAUCAACCAGAAAGUCACGGCUAACUACGUGCCAGCAGCCGCGGUAAUACGUAGGUGGCAAGCGUUGUCCGGAUUAUUGGGCGUAAAGCGAGCGCAGGCGGAAGAAUAAGUCUGAUGUGAAAGCCCUCGGCUUAACCGAGGACUGCAUCGGAGACUGUUUUCUGAGUGCAGAAGAGGAGAGUGGAACUCCAUGUGUAGCGGUGGAUGCGUAAUAUAUGGAAGAACACCAGUGGCGAAGGCGGCUCUCUGGUCUGCAACUGACGCUGAGGCUCGAAAGCAUGGGUAGUGAACAGGAUUAGAUACCCUGGUAGUCCAUGCCGUAAACGAUGAGUGCUAAGUGUUGGGAGGUUUCCGCCUCUCAGUGCUGCAGCUAGCGCAUUAAGCACUCCGCCUGGGGAGUACGACCGCAAGGUUGAAACUCAAAGGAAUUGACGGGGGCCCGCACAAGCGGUGGAGCAUGUGGUUUAAUUCGAAGCAACGCGAAGAACCUUACCAGGUCUUGACAUCUAGUGCCAUUUGUAGAGAUAC